rnacentral:rRNA from 1 species
CCUACGGGAGGCAGCAGUCGGGACUAUUGCGCAAUGGAGGAAACUCUGAUGCAGUGACGCCGCGUGCAGGAAGAAGGUUUUCGGCUCGUAAACUGCUUUAGACAGGGAAGAAAAAAGCGAGUACUUGCCGAAUAACCCCCGGCUAACUACGUGCCAGCAGCCGCGGUAAUACGUAGGGAGCAAGCGUUUUCCGGUUUUCUUGGGUGUAAAGGGUGGGUAGACGGAGAAGCAAGUUAGUUGUGAAAUCCCUCGGCUUAACUGAGGAACGGCAACUAAAACUCCUUGCCUUGAGUACUGGAGAGGAAAGUGGAAUUCCUAGUGUAGCGGUGAAAUGCGUAGAUAUUAGGAGGAACACUCGUGGCGAAGGCGGGUUCCUGGACAGUAACUGACGCUGAGGCACGAAGGCCAGGGGAGCGAAAGGGAUUAGAUACCCCUGUAGUC